rnacentral:rRNA from 1 species
GAUGAACGCUGGCGGCGUGCCUAAUACAUGCAAGUCGAGCGAACAGACGUGGUGCUUGCUCCUCUGACGUUAGCGGCGGACGGGUGAGUAACACGUGGAUAACCUACCUAUAAGACUGGGAUAACUUCGGGAAACCGGAGCUAAUACCGGAUAAUAUCUUGAACCGCAUGGUUCAAUAGUGAAAGACGGUUUUGCUGUCACUUAUAGAUGGAUCCGCUCCUCAUGAGCUAGUUGGUAAGGUAACGGCUUACCAAGGCAACGAUGCGUAGCCGACCUGAGAGGGUGAUGGGCCACACUGGAACUGAGACACGGUCCAGACUCCUACGGGAGGCAGCAGUAGGGAAUCUUCCGAAAUGGGCGAAAGCCUGACGGAGCAACGCGGCGGGAGUGAGGAAGGUCUUCGGAUCUUAAAACUCUGUUAUUAGGGAAGAACAAAUGUGUAAGUAACUAUGCACGUCUUGACGGUACCUAAUCAGAAAGCCACGGCUAACUACGUG